rnacentral:rRNA from 1 species
ACAUGCUUACAACAUAGUGUUAAUGCAUCGGAUCCCAUUAGAACUCUGCAGUUAAUUGCGCUCAGGCUAGAGUAGUACUGGGAUGGGUGACCACCUGGGAAGUCCUAGCAUUUUACAUGCC